rnacentral:lncRNA from 1 species
GCUUCCGGGUGUGCCCGGCCUUUGUCUCUCGUGCCCGCACGUGCGUGUCUCGGUCAGUAGCCCUGCGCUUCUCCUUCACUCUCGGCGGUUCAGGAGGCUCUGCCGCAGCCGGGGCCCUCCUGUGACCUGCAUGUACUGGGGGAUUCGCAGGGAGGAUGUCGGGACACCCCGGAAGCUGGGAAAUGACUUAUUAACCUUCAUGGCCUCUGGUCUUCUGAGGAAGCAGUCUGAGGAGCCCGAGUUUUGAAAAGGGAAGCAAUCCUCCAAGGCUGCGAUUUCCACAGAAAUCACAUGUGAGCCACAGGUGUCAUUUUAAAAUUUCUAGUAGCAACAGAAACGAGGAAUAAAC